rnacentral:rRNA from 1 species
UGGGUCUAAUACCGGAUAGGAGCGUCCACCGCAUGGUGGGUGUUGGAAAGAUUUAUCGGUUUUGGAUGGACUCGCGGCCUAUCAGCUUGUUGGUGAGGUAAUGGCUCACCAAGGCGACGACGGGUAGCCGGCCUGAGAGGGUGACCGGCCACACUGGGACUGAGACACGGCCCAGACUCCUACGGGAGGCAGCAGUGGGGAAUAUUGCACAAUGGGCGCAAGCCUGAUGCAGCGACGCCGCGUGAGGGAUGACGGCCUUCGGGUUGUAAACCUCUUUCAGUAGGGAAGAAGCGAAAGUGACGGUACCUGCAGAAGAAGCACCGGCUAACUACGUGCCAGCAGCCGCGGUAAUACGUAGGGUGCGAGCGUUAUCCGGAAUUAUUGGGCGUAAAGAGCUCGUAGGCGGUUUGUCGCGUCUGUCGUGAAAGUCCGGGGCUUAACCCCGGAUCUGCGGUGGGUACGGGCAGACUAGAGUGCAGUAGGGGAGACUGGAAUUCCUGGUGUAGCGGUGGAAUGCGCAGAUAUCAGGAGGAACACCGAUGGCGAAGGCAGGUCUCUGGGCUGUAACUGACGCUGAGGAGCGAAAGCAUGGGGAGCGAACAGGAUUAGAUACCCUGGUAGUCCAUGCCGUAAACGU